AUUUUCCAAACGCUCCGGCUGAGAGGAGCGGGAUGGAAAACGCACAGACGGAAGCGGCGGGGUCCGGGCUGCGUUGAAAUCCUUUUAUGGGCCUCGUGAAGCUGAUCCGAUUCCCUUAGGGGAAGGGUCUCUGGACGCUUUUUUUCCCCUUCCCCCCCUGCCCCCGACCCCUCGUGCAACGUCAUUACGGUGAUGGCGUCUCCCCGCUGGCAGCUGCAACAACCCUGACGCUGACCGUUCGCAUCCAUUUGCUGAAGCGUUUUCGGACGCCCGACGUCUGCGGGGCGUGUGGCUGGAAGCUGGACGCUCCUGAGUCUUCCCACGACGGAGAAAUGCAGUCAGGAGGUUUCCUCGUGAACACCCGAGGGGAUCGUUAAGUGACUUUUGGGUCUCAGAGCAGAGGGACGCUGAGCGUCCGGGAGGCCCCUGGUCGCAGUGGGCAUCUCUGAUUUAAACAUGGCCUUAUGUGGCUGAGUCGUGGGGGCGUCCGGGGUGGUCGGAUGGUGUUGUUGAUGGAAAGGGUUAAAUUUCAGGGCCCUGGGGCCAGUGGGCUUGAACGGGACCGUCGCCUCCUGUUCUGGGCUGAACUGUGUCCCCAAAUGCACACGUUGGGGCCCUGACCACAGGACCUUGGAACGUGCCAGGAUUUGGAGAUGAGUCUUUAAGGAGGUGAUAGAAGUGAAAUGAGGCCAUUGAGGUGGGUCCUGAGGCAACAGGACUGGGGUCCUGAUGAGAAGAGGAGAUGAGGGCACAGACACGCACAGAGGGACGACCACGUGAGGACACGGAGAGAAGACACGUCCACUGGAUUUAGGCUGGAUUCAGGGCCGCCUCCUCCAGGAAGCCCUCCUCUCCAUCCUUCCCUUUGUCACACCUGCAAAGACCCCAUUUCUAAAUAAGGCCUGGUUCCCGGGUGCCAGGGGGGCAUAUCUCUUGGGUGACCAUCCUUUAACCCAUGACCUUUGCACCCGUGGCCCCACCUGAGUGCCCGGUUCUGCCUGAAAUGGACUUACACUGUUGGACCGACUUCUUGCAACCCAGUCAUCGCCGUGAGAAGAGCAUUUCCGAGCGGCUGCAGGCCCCUCAACCCACACCCAGAGGGGACUUAGGCCGAGCGGAGCUGAGCCCGAGUCGAUCAACAAACGUGGCUGCCCGGCCACAUCCGGUUGCGAUCAACCAGCUAC
rnacentral:lncRNA from 1 species